CCAAAUAUAAAGUAUAAAAUAAAUAAUAAUAAAUGUCCAAUUUCCUUUACAAAUUCGAAUUCAAACCAAAACAAAAUUAUUUUAGCCUAAUUACAAUAGUAGCUUAAACCCAUUACCCAGACCCAAAUCAUUUUCUACCCAAGCCCAAUACAAACCUAAGCCACUAAGCCUAAUCAGCUAACCCAGACCCAACUUAGCCCAAAGUAUUCCCCAAAACUCGAAACCCUAGCCUUCAGCAACCAGCAACACCGUCGUCGAACCCAGGGCCUCUUCCGCGCGUGCUGCACCUCCAUGCGCGUGCGUCUCCUCCAGUUGGCCUACGUACAUGCCACGUCCAGCCCCCGUACGAUCGUACCUACAAACAGAAUGAAAACAACACAGCAAAGAGGAACCAAUGGGGGGUUUUCUAUUUUAUUUUUUUGUUUCGAUUUUAUUCGAUUUUUUUUUCGGUUUCUUUGUCAAAAAAAUGAUAAUAUAAGAAUCGAAAGAACUUUUGUACUGACUUACGCAAUCAAAAUAAAAAGAAAUCAAAAUUCAAAAGAGGUGAUUUUCUGGGUUCUUUCCUUCUUUUCAUUCGCAGUUUGUUUCUUUUUUCCUUUUUUUCGUUUCGGUUUUACUGAUUGUUAGCAAAGAAAGAAUAACAAAGGAUGAAGGUUUAGAAACCUUACCUGGUGGCCGAUCUUCCUUCUACUCCGACGCAAUCGGAGUUGGGGGGAGGAUAGAGGCCCGAGGCAUCGCUUCAUCAAAACGGCGCAAAGGGGGAGGGGGUUUAGUUGUAGUUUUGAU
rnacentral:lncRNA from 1 species